AUUGAACGCUGGCGGCAGGCCUAACACAUGCAAGUCGAGCGGAUGAGGGAAGCUUGCUUCCCGAUUUAGCGGCGGACGGGUGAGUAAUGCCUAGGAAUCUGCCUAUUAGUGGGGGAUAACGUUCCGAAAGGAACGCUAAUACCGCAUACGUCCUACGGGAGAAAGUGGGGGAUCUUCGGACCUCACGCUAAUAGAUGAGCCUAGGUCGGAUUAGCUAGUUGGUGGGGUAACGGCUCACCAAGGCGACGAUCCGUAGCUGGUCUGAGAGGAUGAUCAGCCACACUGGAACUGAGACACGGUCCAGGCUCCUACGGGAGGCAGCAGUGGGGAAUAUUGGACAAUGGGCGAAAGCCUGAUCCAGCCAUGCCGCGUGUGUGAAGAAGGUCUUCGGAUUGUAAAGCACUUUAAGUUGGGAGGAAGGGUUGUAAGCUAAUAUCUUGCAGCUUUGACGUUACCAACAGAAUAAGCACCGGCUAACUCUGUGCCAGCCGCCGCCGUAAUAC
rnacentral:rRNA from 1 species